AUGGCGGUACCAUCAAUCAUCAAGAUGUGCCGCUAGGGUCAGAGGCCACUUCUCUCCCUCUCUGCCGUGUGCGCAGCUAUCAGCUUGCUGCACCCUCCUCUCUCUCUCUCCCGAGACGGCUGGUGGCGUGGAGAAGGAUCUCAAACGUCCCCUUUCCUUCUCGAGGUGGCUGGCGGCGAGGUUGAGGAAUGAGGGCCCGGUGCCCUCCUCUUCUUCUUGACCUGUGCGGCCAUCCCCGUGGCCAAUCCUCUCUCAAGUGGAGGACGUGUGGGUGGUCGCCGGCAGAGCAGACGAACUGGAGUGGCCGAGUGGGGGCGGCGCUCAAGCCUCCUCCUCUCACCGACACGGGCGCCCUCCCCCUCUCUCCCUGGCUGUCGUGGGAGCCCCUGCCUCAGUUCCUCCCUGUUGGCUCAGGACCGGAAGCGGGAAGGAGAUUUCUCACUUGGUCUGUGUGGCCUAAAGCAAUUCAUCCAACCGACAACCCAUAUGCUUAGCAUGCAGUGCAUCUGAGAUUUCUUCUUGCUAGCCUGGAUAUAUUAAUUAUGGCUGCUGGGAGUGGUCUGAUGAUCUGAAUUUUUUUCGCUGUAAGAUUCCGCAAUUACAUAUUGGAGCUCACUGUAUAGUCAAACAUGGACUGAACUGGGUGUUCGAGGAACUGAACAUUCAAAAUUAACGUUCAUAAGCUUAAGGUACUAACAUUAGUGCAGCCCGGUUGACCCAUAAGUUCUUACAGUUUCAAGGUGUUUCUUUGAAGGUCUUGGCGGCGUUCUAGAUGGUGUUGCCGGCGUGGCUAGGCCUCUUCUAGGCGCAGACGGCGAGCCGGGACCUGGUACCUGGAGGCCGCGGCAAGGGGCGCAUACAUCCUUCUGGACAUUGUCAACCGGUGGAGCAGGUCGUGGGUGAGGCCGUCAGGAGGAGCAUGCUGCAGUUGCGCGUAUUAGAUUCUCUGUCCAGGGCUUCUCCCCACCACUGGUCCUUGCUUUCCCCACCGCCGGCUUCUCCAUUUGCUGUUCCGUUGAUGGCUGCUCCCGCUGUUCUAGAUAGUUGGAGAUGUUCUUGAUCUGAUGUGUUUAAUCUAAGUGUCGAGGCAUGAACACAUACUAAUGUGGGUUUUCUGAAAUAUUUAAUUUAUUUUGGCUUGACUAGCACUUGGAUUUCAAACGAGGACGGAGUUGUUUUUCUUUAGGCAUUGGUCUAAUUUUUUUUGCCAUGUUUGGCUGUGACUGCAAUUGCUUUGAUGACCAGGUAGGAUAUUGCCCUGUUAAACAAAAUUCUAGGAAUGUACGCAGCUGUUGAGAUGUGCUACUGCAUAAAAAAUAUUGUAUGUUCCAAGCUGUUGAUUUAUCAAGUUCGUUUCUCUAGCUAUGGUGUGGACUAUCUGUCGAUGAAUCUGAACUUUAGCACAUACUAUUCGGUUUGCAGCAAGGAUAUAUAAUUUUCCUGAAACUGAAUUUUUUUUGUUAACUGAAACUCUUACAGUCUUACUCAUAUACAGUUUCAGUUAAAACCACGGAAGUAACUGAUCCUCAAAAAGCUGAGUGCGAAACAACACAAGUAACUAAUUGGCAAUUGUUUUGUUUAUACAUAGGUCGGUGCUCUUACUUGGGCAGUACCACCUACUGGCAGUAGAUUAGUAAUGGAUGGAUACACAUGCGCAGGUCACCCGCUAUCUCAGGUAUUUUCUCCAAAUCCAUUCAUGAAAAUGGGUGUUAGGUAUCUGCAUGUUAUGUACAUUUCUGACUAUGUGAGCAAAUUGUCCCCUGCUACUUCUGUUGGCUCGAACCGUUUGUCCAGCUGCUACUUCUGCCCGUUGUCGAGCCAUUUUCUCUUGACGAGAGCAUGCCGGUUUAGCCUGUGAUUUUUCUGUUGACAUGGACGCUUGGAGGCUUGCAAUUCAUCUUGGCUUACUGGAUUUCUUUGGUCUUUCUUAAAGGUGAUCGGUCUUAGUAAUUCUACUGAUUAAUCUUCGGAUCUGCAGGCUGGCUCUGUUUAUUGUCCUUUUUCAGGCUGCUCUUCUUCAGAUUCAGGUCCUACAUCAGACAGUGGGUGCUGUCAUAUUCUCUUUCUUGAUGCACUGGUGGUUCAGAUUUGAAUAUGGGGUACACAUAUAAAUAUAAUUUCUUCGCACUUGUGUAUUCUGAUGCUUCCGGUUUAGAAGAAACUUAUAUAUUUCAGUACCGACCUUGAUCCAUUUAUUUUGUUAAGCGCUGCCACCAACUACUCAAACACGAAGUACCAAAACUAUUCUCUUAUUUUUCUUGGUCAAAGGAAGUUCCAGAAUUGCCUUUUUAGACUAUAUAUGUAGGUAAUUGGUUCGAUCUUGUGUCAUUUUUUGCUAGGUUUCAUUGGUUCUAUCAUUGAAUGAUAACUGGUAGGAGAUCAAGGUAUGGAAGAAGACUCUUGAAUUUGUGGGAUACAUAAGUGAGGGAUCUGUUCAAAUAGCAGAGGAAACUGUAGCGUACAAAAUUCAGUGCAUUUAUCCGCAGGAUCAUUCACACACUAUUUUCCCUAUCCUGUGUGACCCUUCAAUCCUGAAAAAUUAUUUGUCCUGAACUCCACCUUGGCGUCUGGCCGUCGCAACCACCUAAUUCCAUCUCCAUCAAAGUAAAGCUAGCUCAACCACAGCAAAUAGAAGUAUAUGUGUCGCUGAAAUGACCAAAGUAAUUGUUCCCGAGACAUGCUAUAAUAUGGAGUACCUCCAUAUCCAUGAUCUUGAGAAAUGCAAUUGGCUUGAAAAGGUUGCUGAACUUUUGAAGGACAUCCAAGCGGGUUUGCUUAAGAGUGUUUCCGCAUUAAUGGUGAGAUGGUAUUCGAUCCUUAAUUUGUUUGGGUUAUAGAGCCAUUGCCAUCACACGGGUCAUUGAUGCCACUGAUCGGACGAGAACUUAGAAGCUUACCGCGGCAACUGAGUGCCGGCUUCACCGACGGUUUACAAAUGUUGAGCAUCUGACGAAGGAAACAUUAGUCCUCACAGUUAUUGUGAUGGCGGUUAUGGCCGCCCCAAGGUAACAUGUCAUUCAUUCGUUUGAUAGUUGGCUCCAAAGGAUGCAUACACUGGAUAGCAUGUACUAAUGAUUUCUGUAAAGAUACAGGUGAUUGCUUCAAUAGGUAUUCAGUCUUGCUGCUGACAAGGUUGGCGUACUGAUCUAUGCGGCCUGCUUUACACAUACUAUAUGUAUCAUAGACCAUAUAAGCCUUAAAAAUGUAGGACCGCACGAGCAUGUGUUGUUUUGCCUUGCAAAAGCAACAUCAACUGCUUUAUUAUCUACCACUGAACUAUAGGUUCCGACUCAUAGUUGUGUGCACCAUAUAUAUAUUGAUAAAAUUUCCAUAUAUAGUCAAUGUCACAUAUGCAUUUACUGUCAAUGUCCU